UCUCAAUCUGAACACUUCAGAGAUUUUCCUGACUGAGAUAAAUCUUCCCUUAAACAAGGAACUCAUGCUGGAGAAUCCCAUGUUAGCUGUUCACAGAAGCUGAAUACCCCAAACUUUACUCCAAUUGCUUGUUCUCUUUGUGGGCUGACCAAGAUGCUCUGAGCUG